GAAUUUCUGAUAUACAAGUGAUGGUUGAGCUUAGAACAAUAUCUCUGAUAUCAUGUUAUCGAAAAGACAUAAAACUUAGCUGCAAAUGGAAAGUAAUUAAGUUCCGAACUUGAAAUAUCGAGUAAUAAUCAUUAAGUCCUUUAUCACUUCCGCUGAAAAUAGCCAGUUUAGGUCAAAACUUUUAAUGAAAGGAUAUUUAGUGGAGCUUAAGCCUUUGGGUCAGUCACCAAAAAANNNNNNNNNNNNNNNNNNNNNNNNNNNNNNNNNNNNNNNNNNNNNNNNNNNNNNNNNNNNNNNNNNNNNNNNNNNNNNNNNNNNNNNNNNNNNNNNNNNNUUUUGCAGUUAAAGUGAGUAUUGCAGACCUCUCGCCAGAUAUUUCGUUCCACCAAAUGGGUACAUUAUGUAAGAAGUCCUCCCUGGUCAGCCAUACUCUCUCAAACCGAAAUCGCCUCGGAGUGGGAUUACUCCCAGUAGCAAGGAUUAGCGGGGUGUGAUCGGACGUGAUUCUUGAUAACGCAGAAACCCUACAGUGCGGGAACGCUUGAUCCCACUCCGUCGAAACAAGAAAUCUGUCCAGCUUGGCCAGGGUUGGUGAGCUUUGCAUAUUAGACCAAGUAAAAUUUUGGUUGGAAAUGGGUAAGUCAAUGACUUCAAGAUUAGAAAUAAGAUCAGAGAACAUGAACAUCGCUUUUGUGCUCCACCGAUUUCCAGUGCGUUCAGUCUGGUUUCUAGUAAAGUUAAAAUCCCCACAGAUCACCCAUUUACUGUUGGAACAAACCCCACGAAGAGCGAGGAGUUCAGAACAGAACUCUUCUUUCCCAUCCCAUGUUGGCGGUCCAUAAACGUUUGACAGGUAGAAGCUCGUUCCGCUUGUGACAUGUUUCAAGUUGAUGGUUAGCGAGUGCUCACGCACCAACACCUCCGUACCGACGAAAAAUUUGGAAUUCCAACAUGUUAUAAUACCACCCGAGGCACCGACAGCAGGAGUAAAGUGACUUCUGUCAAAACUCGAACCACAGCAAGAGCGAAGAAAGGAUCGAGACACCGAAUCCAGUUUAGAUUCUUGGAGACAGACUACCGAACAACAUAGUUUAGAAACAGUAGACCGGACACAACGACGCUUACAAGGGUCGUUUAGACCGCGGACAUUCCAAGUGAAAAUAUUAAACAUAAGAGAAGAGACACACACACACAACCAAAAGGCGGCCCAAACUCGACUCUAAGAUCGCUCCACGUCAACCUCGCUGCACGAACUUGUGGAGUUCCUCAGCCUCCACCCCCGUAAGCUUCACACCACAGAGCGCGCUUUUCUUCAACACCUUUUUGCUAAUCCGUUGACAUCGGACCGACGAUGGCCCAGAAGAGUCAGCUUCGAGCAGGGCCGCCUUCCUCAGUUUCGCCCGAUCGAGCGCCGAGACCUGUCGAACUGACAUCAGCCUCGCACAGGAUCUAGUCGCCGCCCUCAGCUUGCUCGGGGAAUCCCUCUCCUUGCCGAGAAAAAGAUCAGUAGUCGGGGAAGAGAGACCGUCCCUUGAGGAGGCCCCCUCCUCGCCUAACAGCAGAUCGAAAGCAGGGGGGGAAAAAAACUGUCCAUCAACGAACCCGAGCGGCGGACUGAAGAUCAGCGAGGAAUUCUCAUUGUCAUUCUCCAUGAAUUUUUUCGUAAAGUAGACCUCCCCCCCGUUUUCGCCUGGGCUCGGAUCUACUGCAUGAUCUCCAACAGCUGACCCGGGCGGCGAUGUGUCGAUCGGCAUAACGGAAAUCUGAUAAGCCCCCCCCCACUGCUAGCACCUUUUUCUCCUGGGACUGACUCUACUUCAGGCACCCGGAGGGCGACGCCUGCAGAUGUGUGGGUGGAGAAGCGCCCCACAUCCCAAACCCGGGAGGCAGAUACGAUGCAAGUUACCGCUGCGGACAGCGAGGAAAACUCUUCACCGCUCUUCCAGGAGGGCCCCCGACCAGUUUGGCCCGAGAGAGAGAAAGUCCCAAGGAGAUCUGGGCUAACAGGAAUAACAGGCGGACCAAAUUGCGGAUGGGCUUCUGCAAAAAAGAUCAAUAAAGGUCCCCAACGGAACAUGCAACAGGCCUCGGGUCCGAGUGGGACUGAAGGGCCCAUCCCCUCUACAAAGGAAGUGUCGUGCCGGCCCAGCCCAGGACGAACAGCUUUCGGGCCCGUGAGGACCCACUGUUCGGGAAAGCAAAUGUCCAUCCCCGGCCCGGAGCUCGAGGAGGAUGUGUAGAUCUUCUGAGUCGAAGGUGGCCGCUUUUUCCAAGCACAGUAAUAAAUACUCUGAUCUUUAAUAACAAGUCCACUUGGCUCCAAACUCUGACACGUUGACAAAGAAGCCUGAAGGAGAUCUUUUCCUUUUCCUAAAGCCUUCGAGGACGGGCCGCCUGUCGCUAUUAAGCUUCGCCCCCUCUCCCCGUCAACUCCUUCAAUUAAUGCGCCGUCAGCCUCAGCAAAAUUCAAAUUCCCGUCCGUUGUCCCACGUUUUCCGACAAUCGCCGGUCCCUUUUCGUCGUCGCCGCGCCGAUUGGAUUCUUCCGACGAGAGUGCGAUAUUUCUGCACAGAGAGGAGUCCGGGAUGAUGACUUCCCGCCUUCUAUCCCGGAUUUCGGACGAAUUCCAAGAUGCUGCUGCGUCCGAGCUUGAAGACCCACCAGCCGAAGAUCGUCGCCCUCGUACCGACCCAGCAGAGCGGUGGGGGGACUCGUGAUCUCUCAACCCAGGAUCAUGCUGGUCCGUCCGUUCGUUGGGCGGAAUGCGGGGGUCGACAUAGUCGCGACGGCCCCAUCUUUCAAGCUGGAUGAGAACCGACAGCGAAUAGUCUCCUACCGUGAUCUCCAGAUUUUCCGGGAUGUCCGAUAGAAAAUUGACAGCAACGAGGCAUCUAUACCCCGUGAGAUCUACCAUGCGAUUCGAGAAGUCAUCGGCCCGGAUAAACCGACCGAACCCGGUGACCAGCGCCACCACCGUUCUAGAUGACCAACACUCAUAAGGUAAGCAAACAAGCCGGAUCCAAACAUUGUACGUUAACGAAGCUCUUCGCAACCCGGAGUACGGAUUCCAGGAAUAGCAUUGAAGCCUCAGAUUGUCCAACGACAAAAUCUCUCGACGAACUAGCUGGGCAGCCGGCACCCAUUCCGGUAGGAAAAUCACAAAGUCGCGGGAACUAUACUUGGCGACAUGAAAAUCAGACGGGAGACCUCCGAAGCGAGCCGCCAGCCUGUUGGCUAUCGUCUCCUGAGGAAAAUGACCCAAAUUCCUUGGAGGGAGGACAUCCACCAGAAUCGCGUUGCGACAAUGGUUCUGCCUGGCGAAGAAGUCGUCUGUCUGUGGGACAAAUGCGCUAAGGUAAGAAGGUCUGGCCCGCAUCUCCCUGUAAACCGCCAUUGGCAACCGAUCCAUACAAGAUCUAGCAACGUGACCCGUCUUGUAGCACCGCGUUGCUUAAUUGGUUUAGUUAUACAUACAUAUAGGAAAGCUGCAGAUGGCGGAUUCUGUAGAGCUGCCGGGCUCCGUCGCAGAACCGUCGGACUUCAACGCGGAAUCUGAAUUCUCCAGCGAGAUGAAGAUCUUUGUGCAGUCGGAGGCCGUCCAUAGCUACGUUCUUCUGGUGGACGGCGAUAACACCGUCGAGGACGUGCUGGUCAAGAUUCUCGGCAGCGACAGGGCCGGGCGGGUGCCGGAGCCGAGGCUUUAUUUCAAUGACUUGGAAUUGGAGAAGCAGAAAGCCUUGGCGGAAUGCGGAAUCAAACACGGCUCCGUGCUGCACCUCAAGUGCACGCCGCGGGUGUUGGCACGUGCUCAUGAGUAUGCUUAAUUGGCUAAUAAUUUUAAUUUCGAAUUGGUUUCAUAUUAAUCAGUUUGGUUAUAUAAUUAUUUAAUUAAGGCGCGGGUUUAACGAACUUACUUGUAUACCUAAGGAACGAAGUAUAUUCUCGUUGCUGUGGUCAUGAAGCUGACAAAUUAAGACAAAUUGUGUUAGAUCAGGGGCUUUAUACAUACUCAUUUCUAAAAAAAUAUUUAUAAAUUACUAGAAAAUUUAUUAGUAUUUUUCUAAUAAUUUUUUUAAGUAGUUAUGUAUGUAUCUCAUAAUAAAAUUAUAGGAUAAACUUAUUGAUAUUUAGACUUUCCAUUAACAGUAUGCAGAGAGAAGAAGAGGAAAAAAAAGGCCGAAUAUAAGCUCGAUAAGAUAGCCAGAAAUAGAAACAAAAAUUAAUUAUCUUUAAUUUUGUAUGUGGCAAAAGCCAUCAAAUUUGUAACUUAGUGUUUCUUCUUUGCCUAAUUAGCAAUGUCAAUGUGUGUUAUAUAUAUGUACAUGGUACAACAAAUAUCUUUUAGAAUUAAUCUUUGUGAAAUUUUAUACAAAUAAACUAAUGUGCAUUACGUAUAUAUGCAACUUUGCUAGUCCCACAGAAUUAGCCCAGAUGGGUUGUGCAGAUUCGGGCUCUCCUGUAAGAUCCAAUCCGGAUGGUGAAAUGAAAAUCUUUGUGCAGUCAGAAUCUCGAGGAAGUUAUGUGCUUGAGGUGGACAGCUCUAACACCAUCCGGGAUGUGCUAGCCACCAUUCUUUCUACUAAGCGGUUAGAGUCAGAACCGGAACCUGUGCUUUACUUCAAUGGCCAGAAACUAGAGAUGGCCGAAUCUCUGGCGGCCUACGGUAUCCAGGAUUGCUCUGUCCUUCAGCUUGAGUGCACACUCUGGAUAUAUCAUUGCGUAAUUGUGUACGUAGCAUCUUUUUAUUACAAGUUAUUUACGUCAAAACCCUUAACUGAUUACAUUAUUUAUAACUAGCUAGUUAUCAGCUUAUCAUUGAGUUUGAAGUUGAGAACAUACCGCGCAUUUAUCUUUGUGCUUGUUGCUUAAUUCCUUUUACAUGUUAUUGUUAGCAAGCGUGCACCACCUGAAUGAAUUAAUUUUGAGGUUAGAACUUCUUUUCUCUGUUUGUAAGAAAAUGAAUUUAUAUAUGUUAGAGCCAGAGUUAUAUAAUGAAGUUAUCGAGGGGAAAAACUUAGUAUAUAUCUGGCAUUUUCAACCACUAUGCUCUAGAGUGCUUCAAUAUGAGAUUUUAGCUAUUCUUUAGUUAGUAUUACCUUGUGCUUGUUUAUGUUCAGUUUUAAUUGUACGCACGAUAUAAGAGACAUCAUCUCAUGCUCUGUGGAAAAUAGACCUGUGAAGUGUUCAUUUCUGAGCUCAAUUAUCUCUUAGAUUGACUUCGUAUUCAAAAUCGCAUGCCUCACUUUAAUCAACUAACCAAAAAGAUGACUUGUAAGGAUGUGCAGAUAUGUCCCAGACAAAAAAAAGAAAAAGAAGAAGAAGAAGAAGAAAACAUGUACAUCAUCUUCUCCACUUUUGCGUUCGUAUGCUUUCUAACAGAAUCAGGACAUAUUAUUUUUCAGAAAAAAGUAGCACGCUAUAGUCAGGAUAUAUCAUUAGCUGCAUACUUUCUUGCUCAGAUGUUUUCCUAAACUUCGAUAGCAAGAAGAAUUCAUUUAUUAUGAAUGUCAUCUUAUGUCUAUUUGGUAUUUCUCAUGCAGUUAUAACUUUCUCAAUACUUACUAAUGGUUGUAAUUUACUAAUGAAUGAAGCGGAUAACAUGCUACUUUUUCGUAGAAAAAAUAAAAUACUAAUAGUUAUAUUUUUUUUCCUUUUAAAAUCAGAACGUUCUUUAUUUCUUCAGCUAAUAAAAUUCUUAAGUUACACAUUUUGAUUUCCCUUUUGUGUACUUGUAUUUACAGAAGUGAGAAGCCAAAUCCAAUUUUGGGCAGGAAAAAAAUUAGAAUAACAGGUUGGCCUUUUACAAUCUGGGAAGAGGAGCAUGAUAAAGUAUUGCUUGGUUUGUUGGUGGAACAAAUUCGAAAUGGAGGGAGAGAAUCACUAGAUGUUGGAAAGGAUUCGUGGAGUGACAUGGCGGCUCGGUUCAAUGAAUCAACAGGUUUCAAAUAUACCGAAAAGCAAUUGCACGAGCACUUCAAUUUUUAUGAACGUGAAUAUCAAAUAGUGAACAGCAUAAGGAAUCAUCAAAAGUUUAGUUGGGAUCAUCAUCGUCAAGUAGGAAUUGCCACAGAUGCUGAUUGGAAAGAAUUUGUCAUGGUAUACCGCCACAUCACUUUUCGAAGUAUUUAGUACUUAGUUUAGUUGAUGCUAAGUUUUCCAUUUAAUUGAUUCAAACCUUUGUACUUUUACACAGGAAAAAUUCGAAGCGAGGCCCUAUCGAAGGAGACCAGUACCAUAUAUUGAUUUAUUGGAAAUCUUGUUUGCGGAUAAGAAAGAAUCAGAAAUUGUAGUUUCCAACGAAUGACUCUUUCAGAAAGAGCAAUGUUGUAUUCUAUCUAAUUUCUAGUUAUGAGAUCUAAACAUAACAUUGUUAUGCUGUAUUUUUUGCAUGCCAUUGCUCGUCAGUUUGAAUACAGAUUAUCUUAUCAUACACUAUUAAUUAAAUUGUGGUGUAAGCUUAUAACUAAUGCUCCUGCAAUAAUUACAUAAUUAGGUCAUUAGAUAAUCUAGGUUGAAUUUAAUUAUCUGAACAUCACGAGUGUUGCCCUAUCGUGGGAGAAAAAGUACUAUACAUUGAUUUAUUCAAAAUCCCAUUUGCUGACAAAGAAGAACCAAAAUUUGUGAUCUAAUGAGUGACUCUUUUGAAAAAAGCAAUUUUGUAAUCUAUCUAAUCUUUACUCAUGCGAUCUAAACAUCGGAUUAUCUACAUCAAAAAGUUGUCCACAUUUAACCAAAUAAUUUGAAUUGUGCGAUUUGAUUGUAAUAAUUCUAAAAGUUCGAAAUAAAAAUUAUAAUAAAUUAAAAUAUAAUGACGAAAGUAUAUAUCAUGCCACACAUAGCUAGAGGACCAAAAGUGUAAUUUAUCCUUAUUUGAAAUUAAAAAUGCAAUAUGAGUAAUACAGCCUACAAUAUUUAAAUGCUUUAUGUAUAUUUAAAUUGAUAAAAACAUACAAAAUCUAUCUAAACCACGAAUCAUUUUUAAUCAGUUAUCUAAUUUUUUAGAGUAAACUUCAAAUAUCCUCAUAUAUGUUUCAUACUUUCUCACUUUAAUACCUAUACUUUAAAGUGUAUCAAGUUAAUUCCUGUGGUUUCGCACUAUCUCCCAAAAUCCAGUUUAGAUAUUGAUGCGCCGGAGCCAAGGAUCACUUUCGGUCUUUACUAAAUAAUCCAAAGGACCAAUUCUCAGAAUCAAUGUCACAAUGUAAUUCACAUAUUUUUGUACCUGUUGCAUCAUUUAUUAUUGUAGUAAUCAACACCUCAUCAUGCCAUCUACAUCCUCCAAUGUAAUUGGCACAUAAAAAAUUAAUAAAAACAUACAUAACUUACACCAUUUUAAAUCUAUUAUUUAAUUUUUAAAAAUUUUAAUUUUAUUAUCCAAAUUUUUAAUUUUAUUUAAUUUGAAUUAGACAAUAAUAUUUAACUUCAAAAUUUAAGAUUAUUAUUUAAUUUAAUAAAUUUAUAGUUACGAAAAUUGUACAUUUGUAUAAAAUAUACUAGCUAAAUUUAUUAAAGCAUACGAUGUAUUUAUAUUUUAAAAUUAAGAUAUCGUUGGCUGAUUCAAAUCAAACAAAUUAAAAGAUUAGAUAAUAAAAUUAAAAUUUGAAAGAUUGAAUAAACAAUUCAAAAUAUUUUAUAGUUUAGAUAAAUUUUAUAUAUUUUUAUCUUAAAAAAAAUGAAAUAAAAAUGUCUCCCGAAAAAGAUUGCUGACUCCUUGGCGCAACGAAGACCUCUCUCAACCAGUCCGUUUGGCGGGUCCAUUUUAAAAAUACUUAGAAGGCCAAAUUCUUUUUGGUUCGAAACUUUUUACUUGUUUCAUUCUAAUUUGAUUAAAUUUUGGAGGUAGAUAAGGCAUCUUUUUCUUUGCUAUUGAUUGCUUCUUCUGUGAUAGCAACAUUUGAUAAUAGAAAUAAUUCGGUAUGGCUAAAAUCAGUUGAAGUGUAUAUUGUAUCACAACGUAAAAAAGAUAUAUAUAAUUAUACUAUUGUAAUAAUUGUGAGUUUGAGAGGUGGGUCACCGACAUCUGUACUAUUUUAAUAAAAGGUUAAUUUCAUUUGUACCCUCACAAAGUUAUGAAAUAUCAUAAAUACCCUUUGAAUUUUUAAAAUUUCACAAAUACCCCUCUAAAUACAAUAUUUCUUUUAUAAAUAUCCUUACCGUUAUUUUUUGCUAACUUCCGUCAGCAUAGCAUUUUUUUUAUUUUAUUUCAAAAUAUGAAAUUACCAUUUUACCCUUAUUUUUUGUUUAAAAAUCAAACUUUUGUCACUUAUUUUUUGAUAUUUAUACUAAAACUAUCAACUAUAGGUCAUUUAAGUAAAUCCUUGAAGUUUUUAUUAAUUUUCUUUUUUGAACAUAAAAUUAUUUAAUUUUAUAUACUACGAAGUUAUUAAAAUUAUUAAAUUUGUUUGAAUCAUUAAUGGAUUAGAUAAAAUCUCUAAUUUAAUAAUAAAAAAUAAUUCAAUUUAAGAAAAUAAAAUUUAAGAAGACUUUAAUUAAAAAGUUAAAUUUAGGAGGGUAUUUCACAAUGGGUUGUAAUUGAGGGGGUCUCCAUAUAUUCAAAAAAAAAAAUUGUGAGAGUGGUGAUUAAAUUAAAAUAGAGGGUAAAACUGGUAUUUUGAAGCUAAUAUAACAGAUUGCUAGCAGUGAGGGUAUUUUUGAAACUUUUCCAUGCUUUUGGAGGACAAAUAUGAAAUUUUAAAAUUUUGAAGGGCAAUCAUGAAAUUAGAACUACUUGGAAGGGUAUUAAAGAAAUUUUCCCUUUAAUAAAUGUGUGCUGUAGAGUGAUCAGUCCUUUUUUCAUCUGUCGAGAAAAAAUCAUAACAUUUUUGAAAUUUUUUUUUUUAGAUUUGAGAGCGUUUUGCACGUUUUACCUAUCUAUCGGCCCUAUCAUCUAUUAUAUUAUCUCCUCAUCUUAUUUGUAGUAGUCAACACCACACGGUGCUUCGUCGUCCUCAUAAGUAAUUGGCACAUAAAAAAAAUUGAUAAAAACAUACAAAGCUUAUAUUAUUUUAAAUCAGUUAUUUAAUUUUUAAAAAUUUUAAUUUUACUAUCUAAUCUUUCAGUUUUUUUUUAUUUAAGUUAGUCAAUAAUAAUACUUUAACUUCAAAUUUUAACUUUAUUAUUUAAUUUAAUAAAUUUAUAAUUAUGAAAAUUAUAUAAAGUAUAUUACCUAAAUCUAUUAGAAUUGAUGAUGUAUUCAUAUUUUAGAAUCAAAAUACUGUUGAUCGACUCAAACAAAUUAAUAAUCUUAAAUAGCAAAAUUAAAAUUUUGAAAGAGAAUCAAAAUUUGUGUUGUGGAGAAUUAAUUUCUCCCUUGGCUUAAUUAGGGACCCGUGAAGGAGAGCUCUCAAUAUCCGGUCUAGACUUCAAUGGGCGCGGAGUCAACGAUCGUUUUCGGUCUUUACUAAACAAUCUCUAUUUAUUUAUUUAUUUAUUUUUUUAUGAGAUAGAUAGCACGCUGUCCGUUUCGUUUAUUUCAUUUAAAAAUAAAUUUAACUAGAAAUAUGAAUCAAUUAGAAUUCGAACUUAGAUUUUGAAUGCUAACAAUUAAGUCCUUUGCCACUUGUUCUAGAAACGGUCCGUGUCUUUACUAAACAAUCCAAGGACCAGUUCUCACAAUCAAUGUCACAGUGUGAUUCACAUUCUUCUGUCUCCGUUGCAUAAUCAACACCUCAUCUCGUCAACGCCAGCCUCGUAUGUAAUCCGCACAAAAAAAAAAAAAAAUUAAAAUAUAUAAAACUUACACCAUUUUAAAUAGAUUAUUUAUUAUUUAAAAAUUUUAGUUUUAUUAUUUAAUUAUUUAAUUUAUAUUGGUCAAUAAUAUUCUAACUUUAAAAUUUAAACUUGUUAUUUAAUUAAUAAAUUUAUAGUUGCGAGAAUCAUAUAGAAUAUAAUUACUAAAUUUGUUAAGGUAAAUAGUGUAUUCAUAUUUUAAAAUUAAAAUAUCAUUGAUUUAGUUAAAUCAAACAAAUUGAAAAAAUUCGAUUGUGAAAUUAAAAUUUAGAAAGUUGAAUAUUAUUGACCAAUAUAUCCAAAUAAAAUAUAACUAUAAAUCUAAGAAAAUCCUCUAAGUCAGGAAAGCAAUAAUUGCAAAAAGGUGCUAAUGCUCACUAGAUAGACCUUUUGAAGGAGGUAUUCUUUACUGACAAUUAAUAUUGUAUAAUUUGUAUACAAGGUGUUAGGAUUUGGUUAGAUUUAUAGUUAUAUUUUAUUUGGAUAAAAAUUAAUAUUUAAAUUUUUAAGAUAAAUUAAGAUUUAAAUAUUAAUUAGAGGAUAAACCUAACUAGAUUAGGAUUAAUAUUUAAAUUUAUUAGAGAUUGAUUAAGAUAGAUUUAGAUAUUAAUUAAAGUAUGAAUCCUAAAUAUAUUAGGAUUAGGGUACGUUUUAAGUUGAGCAUUAUAAAUAGACAUUGUGGCUCUCUUUCUUGAGUGUAGUACGGCUGGAACCAUUGGGGUGUCGUACCAGAGAGAGAAAAAGAGAGAGAGAGAGUUAUUUUAGUGCACCUUGUGCACGGGUGCACGCGGAGAGGUCUUUUUUGUGGGUUUAUAGAAGGCGAGAGAAGGGUAGAAGAGAUUCAAGAAAAAGGGAUCGGGUUGUAGCUAUUCUGUACAGAAGAGGAGUCAGGUGUAAUAUUCUCUUAUUUAAACUUUUAUCUUUUAUGAUUGUAUCAGUUUUUGCUGAGGAGACGGGUUUAUGGUAAAAAUUCGAUUUGACGUUUUCGCUGCGGAAUCCCAACAAUCGAUACCGGAUCCACAGCAGUCGGUAUCGGAGCGGAUUGCUGAUUCACGAGAUCCGGUACCGGGGCGAGUACCGGAUUCCCAACACAAGGUGCUAUUGGGAUCCGUUAAACUUUUUCGACACAAUUUGAGGAUGAAGAUAUCUAUACACAAAUCGUACAUUCAACAGCCAAUCAAGCUAUGCCUCCAAAUCCGGCAAUCUGCCCGAUCCGAUUUAGGAUAGAGUUCGCAAAGAAGCAAUCAGUUAAGACUAUGCCACACCAUUAUUAAUUGGAGGAUCUCAUGCAUGUUGUUAAUUAGUUGUUACACUUUCCAUUAUAAUAGAUACAUUUCGAAACAUUCUUAAUGCUGAAUUAAUUGAUAUUCAUGUUGACGUACGUACGUGCAUUUUCUCGCAAUAGGAUAGUAAAAAUCUACGACAUGCACGUGUUCUUCCGCUAUGAGUACAUUUGAAAAACCCCUCCUUAAGACAAAAGGUUUGGGAGAAUUAUGAAAGGAAAAGGUUCCAACCUAGCUAGCGAAAACAAAAGAAAAAAAACGUACGGAUACAUAGAACACCAUGAAAAGCAGAGAGAAUCAAAAGGCCCCUCACUUUCCCGGACACGUGGUUCCGGGCCCAAUGUCGGAAAAGGAAGAUGCAUCAUGCAUGUGAAUGGAAAAGACAAUCUUAUUCUGGAGUCCGUACAAUGUAAGAUGGACGCUCAAGAUCUAGAUCGUAAAAGCUGAUCAGGUCCAAUUAGUAUUCAUAAAUAUUUUAUUUAAUAUAUUCAUUUAAUAAACUCAAAAAAUCUAUAUAUUUUAUAAGUAAAGAAAGCAUUUAAAUAUUUAGAAUAAAAUAUUAUAUUUAGUAUUCAAGUCAUUUUUUAGAAUAAGAUGAAUCAUCUCGUAGAUAUAUAAAAUAUAUCAUUGUACUAAAUCAUGAAUCUUAAUACUUUUUAAGAAGUCAAAAAAUAAAAAUUUUUAUUUAUAAUCAUACGAAAAUUAUUUAUAUAAAAUAAAUAAUAUUUGAAUAACUUAUUGGAACAUCAAAAUAAGAGCUUACCCUAAUACAGUCUGACAAUAGUAGAACUACCCUAAUACAGUUCGCGGAUGACACCUUUUUCUUCUUUGCGGCUAGAAAAAGUUAUAUGAGAAACCUAAGGCUGAUGUGGCACCUGUUCGAGUGGGCCUCAGAGUUGAAAAUAAACAGAGAAAAGUCAGAACUAUUUUACCUUGGACAGGUUGAGGGCAAAGCGGCAAAACUGGCAAAAUUGCUCGAGUGUCGAGUUGGGACCCUUCCUACCACUUAUCUUGGGUUUCCCCUUUCCCAUAAACCCCCAACAAAGGAGGUUUGGAGAGGGAUCAUUCAGAAAAUCCAGAAUAGAAUCGACGGAUGGCAAGCUAAACUCUUAACUAGAGGGGGUAGACUUAUCCUGACUAACGCUGUCCUCACAAAUCUGCCGCUUUACUUCUUGUCAGUGUUCAAAGCACCUAAAUGGGUGAUCAAACGUAUUGAAGCCUUACAUAGAGACUUCUUCUGGAGCGGCGAGAGUAACUCUGCAGGUAAGGGAUGUUUGGUGGCAUAGAGGAACGUCUGUGUUAGCAAAGCGGAAGGUGGGCUGGGUAUUUUGGACGUAGCAAUAAUGAAUCAGGCACUACUGGUCAAAUAGUGGUGGCGAUUUUAUACAGCACCCCACCUUCAAUGGACCAAGAUUAUCCGCGCUCUAUAUUACAAUAGAAGGCUACCCAUGAGGGAGGGAAAUUCCUUUAGACCACACUCAUAUUGGUGGAAGGGAGUCAUUCUUACUAAAGAUAUUUUCAAAUGGGGAAUCCAAUAUAAGUUGGGUGAUGGGAGCUCUAUUGACUUUUGGUUGGACCGAUGGUGUGGGGAAAUGACCUUAAUUUCGUCUUUUCCGGAAAUCCACGCGAUGACGGAUCGCAAGCUACUAACGGUCAAGGAUUGCUUCGGAAGUGAUGAUUGGAAUUGGAAUAGAAUUCUGGGUGGUGUAAGCGACGCGGCGAACAUUAAUACAGGACCGGGUUCCAAUCUAUUAGCGCUAAGGGAAAGGGUUGGCAACUAUAGAGUAGUGCAAAGUCCUGACAUGAUUGGGUGGAGAUGGAGUAACAACGGAGUAUUCUCGGUCAAAUCGGUGUACAGAGCGUUGAGUGAUGGGGGUACGAAGGAUGGGCGCGCUUCCAAGAUCUGGAAGCUCCAAAUUUCCCUCAAGGUUAAAGUGUUCUGUUGGCUGAUCCUUAAGAAGAGACCUCUUACAGCUGAUAACCUUAUGAAGAAAGGUUGGACCGGAGAUCCUGGCUGUGUGCUGUGUAGGAUAGAUGAGGAGACAGUGGACCGCCUGUUCUCUCAAUGCGUUGUUACCAAAUUCUGUAUGGUGAUGAUUCGAGAGGGAGUGCAGGCUGGGGAGAUAGGAGAAGAUGUACGUUACAUCUGGGAUAGGUGGUCGGCCAAGAAAGGGCUGCAUAGUAAACAGAAUAGCUUACCUGAAUUGAUCGCUUGCUGGUGGACCAUUUGGAAGGGCAGGAACGAUUUGAUCUUUCGAAACGUCCAUUUUGACCCUGUUGUGAGUGUUCAUAGGAUUAAGCAGCUACUGAAGUCCUGGGAACCCCUCUUACGACCAGUCCGUCAGUUUUUUUUUUNAAUGCAUGGAUAUUAAAAUCAGUUAGUCGAAAAUGGAAGGGUUAUAAGUAUGAACUUAAAGCAAAAUAUAAGGUAAAUGAUCAAACAGAGCAACAAAUUGCAAGUACUGUACCAAAUGAAAUUAUGCCUCAACAAUGGAUUGAUCUUGUUCGCAUAUGGUUCUCGGAGAAAAGUGAGGUAACAUACUAGCAUUAUCAAUGCCUUUAAUAAUGCUACUAAGAUUUUUUUUCCCUCCUUGUUAGUUGAAUUUCUAAAUUUUCACAAAAUAUUUAUAUAAUAAAUUUGUUACUUCAACAGUUGUAUUCUCGGAUAGGAAAGAUGGCACGUGCAAAUGUUAAAACUCCUCAUACAACUGGAUCAAUGAGCUUUGCUAGAAAAAGAUAAGAAUUUGUAUGUUCUUUCUUUUAUUAUUCCAUUUUUUUGUUGAAAUAGGCAUAUAAAAUUUUAUGAUGAAUGUAUUUAUAGUGUAUAAUUCUUUAUUUUCUUUUAUAUUAUAUGAUAAAUUUCUGUGCUCACUAAAUUAUUUGUGUGAUGGUGGUAGGAGGAUGAGAACCAUAGAGAACCGUCUCGUAUUCAGUUUUUUGCAUCGACUCAUAAACAAAAAGACGGAAAUUAUAUUAAUGAUACAUCAAAGAGACUUGUGGUGCGUAUAUGUGUGCAUUAAUAACUUGUCAAGUAUUAGUAGUCCUAAUUAAGUUGUUGACAUAUUACUGUCUUUUUUCUAUUUGUAGGAGAAAUGCAUGACUGAAGUUGCUAAACGUUCGGUAUCCUCCGAAUCGCCUGAUGCAAUUUUUCAAUUGGAAAAUGAAGUUUUCGGUAAACUAAUAGGAAAAGAGCAAUAUGGACGAGUUAGGGGCUAUGGACUUGGACCUUCGCCGACGCAAGUGUUUGGGCCACAAGCGCAAUUUAGGUUUAUGGACAAUGCAGAACAAAAUAGUGUGGAAUUGCAAUCACAAAUGAAAACUAUGCAAAACAAUUAUGAGUCCAAGUUGGCGGAAAUGCAACAGAACUAUGAUACCAAGUUGGCCGAGAUGCAACAAGAUUUUCAAUCUCAAUUGAAUCAAGUCGCAUCUAUGCUCCAGAUCUUUGCAAGAUCAUCAAACAAUUUAGGUGGUGUAGCUUCUCAGUUUCCUGAUUUUGCUAGAUCCUCAGACUCGGGCAAUGCAAGAGAAAAUCCUGCUCCAGAUAUUUGGUUUACUUAAACUUUUGAGCUAUGCUAUAAUUAAGAUCCAUUUUGAGACGAAUCUGUCAUGUUUUGGUAAUAUUUUGCUUAUAAUGUAUGACCAUGACUUGUUAGCUUUAUAGUAUUAUUAGUGAACAUGUUUCUUUCUAUUAUGAAUGAAUGUAUUUUUUCUUUUAGUUUUGUUUGCUUCUAUAUAUGUUUUUUGUCCUCUGGAAAAGUUGUAAGUUUGUGCUUCAAGUCAUAAAGUAUUGUGUAUGAGUUUUAUAUCCAAUGAAAAAAAAAUUAAAUUUAAUAUCAUCUAAAUGAGGUUUUUAUAUAUAAAAUGUUGACGCUUUGAAGCAUCAGCAGAUUAAAUGAUUUAAUUAUAUAAUUUAAAAUCUUGUCAUUUUAAGAGUCAACAAUUCAAUAAAUUAACUACGUUUUGAAGCGUCACAAGUCCAAAAUAUUGUGGCGCUUUUUGUUGUCGUUAUGUAAGAGGGAAAAGUAGCUGGGCAGUCUAAAAUAAAGACGCUUAUUAGCGUCUUCAUUUGAGUAUCGACGCUAUCCCCUCGCGUCAGCUUAUUUCUCUCGACUUUCAACAUCCUGACGCAUCUGACGAUGCUUUUGACUGCGUCGGAGGUUAAUUUAGCAACGCUUUUUAGCGUCAACAACUAUGAAACUAAGCGUCCUCCAAAACACAAUUUAUUGUAGUGACAUUAGCAAUGUAACUGCUGCAAUCUAAACUUUUUCCUCAUAUACCUAAUUUGAAAAUGUAGUGACUAAAAUAAUAUUUUUAUACUAUGAAAACUUUCAAAAAAUUCAAAAUCACUUAUAAUUAAGUUUGCUUUUUCACACUAUAAUAUUGUGGUUACAAGCGCCAUAUAUCAGAGAAGUAAGUAGCCACAUUAAGAAACUGACGAUAAUAAUUUUUUAAAGAGACAACUUUGUAUUGGCAAAAUAGUCAUUUCACGCGUUCACCAUUAAAAAUCUAACGAGAGAUCAAACGGUAGGAACAAACAUAAACGUAUUAGAAGUUUUAGACGGAUACACUUACAAAUUAUAAAACUUUUAAAAAAAUAAAUCUAAUCACUUAAUUAAACUUCUAUAGAAAUUUAUCUAUUGCUCAAUAUCUUUGUAGCAAGCCAUACGAAAUUAAUGCUUUUAUUAACAUACGAAGAACAUUUGCACGAUUCUUCACAUUCAACUAUUAUUUUAGUCGACUCGCACACAAUCACAUCCAAAUUAUUAAUUUUAUGGUAGACUGAACACACUCACAUGCACCCAAUUAAAGUUGCAAUUAAAUGACCGGCACACCAACUCUAUACUAAAGCUAUCCGCGCGCGCUCACACUUUCCACGCUACUAGCUAGUACUCCACACUGUGGCUUGGUGUGUGAGGACCUCACACCAAUUUGUAGGCAUGCAUCCAACGUCUGUUCGGACACAACUAAUUAAUUCCCAGGAUGAUAGUAAGAGCAGACGGUGUAGACGGUUUGCAGGAUGGUGAGAAUAAGAAGGACAGCUGCUGCGAACAAAGAAAGGAUGGCCCAUGGGUUGCUGAAAUAGUCCCUGACCAGCUUCGCCCUCCACUUGGGCCAAGGGUAACCACAGUACUCCCUCACGUCCCGGAACAGUUGGGCGAGGUAGUGGUCAUCGUAAUCGAUGUAGGCCAAGUCGGAGAGCUGGUUGAAGAAGACCGCCAGCUCCUCGUCGCUCGCCAGAUUGUUCUCCAGGAUUCCGCGCUGGUGGAGUACCGCCACAUCUUCCCGCUUGUCUAUGAGGCAGUUCAUGAACAUGGCGUAGCUUGUCAUGUAAGCCUUACCAUCCUUGCACCCGCUGCACUGCUCGAAGGCCACGAGGUUCGAGAAGCGAACUAGGGUGGAGGGCUCCACCGAGAGGAAAGGGAUCUCGAGCACGCCGUCCUCAAAUGCUACAUCUAAGAAGGAACUAAGACGAUUCUCAUGAGUCUCAUUCUCAUUCUCAUUAUUCUUCUUCUUCUUCUUCUUCAUCUUCUUCUUCUUAAUUGUCACUCCGGCGUCCAGGAGCUCGGUAGCUGAUGGAAUCGUCCUCGGAAAUCUUUUCUCAUCCCCAUCCUUUGGAUCAGUUCGCAGUUUCGAGUGAUCAGUUUGUGGUGCCGUGACAUAGCACUCGUAGUAGAGAUGCAAUAAGUGAUCAAAGUUUUUCGCUUCCCAUUUUUGGGGCUCUUUUGUUUCUUCCUCUGGUUUCUUCGUUCCUUGCUCGGGGCUCCAAAAAUGGGAAGCAGCAAGCCAAAAAUGGGAAGCAAGCCAACAAGUGCCGCAAUUGGCUUGCUUCCCAUUUUUGGAGCUCUUUGUUUCUUCCUCGGGGCUCUCGACGCUCAUGCGUGUCAGGUAGUAUACAAGAAGCUCCAUCAGAGAAUAAGGUAUACUGCUGUCCGAGGUGGACUUGAGGCGUUCGAACAACUUGUCGAGCACACAGAAGGGGAUUUGGUUCUCAAGCAAGAGCAAAUCAUCGUGAACCAACGACAAGCUCCAUUUCGAAGCGAAAGAGCUGUCGCCAAACCCUAGCUUCCACUUGAUGAGGAACUCGAGGAUGAAGCACCCGUCGAGAAGCAGCAUCUCCGCAAACUCAACGGGGUUGAGCUCGACCUGCUCGAAGUAGCACCCCCGCACAUCCGGCACCAAUUUCUGGAUCUCAGCUCCGUAGUCCUCGAUGGUGCUGCAGUUGGGAGAGGGCAAUUGCUGGAUCUCGUCGACGUUGUCCUCGAUGGUGCAGUUGCUGCUGUGAGAGAGGAAUUCCUGGAGGUAACGCCGUUUAAGCAACUCCAUCGCCCGGAGGGAGGGCUCAUCAUCGCGGCGACCGUAGGGGCCGAUUGCGACCGUUUGGGGCUCGUACAGGUGCUUGUUGCGCUGCCGGAUGAGGGCCGGGGCGCGGAAGAUGGUGCACUUAUCCGAGGCCAUCGACUCCUUGCUUAAAACACUGAGUUUCCCCCAGGGGGAGCUCAGCAGGGGCUCGCAAAUAUCUGCUGCUGAUUCUCCUUCCGCUCCUUCCAUCGUUAUCUUAUUGCAAAGUUUCUCAAGCUAGAUCUGGCCAAUUUAUUGGUGCCCAAAAAAAUUGGGUGGAAAAAGGUUUCCUCAUCCGGCUUAUUUAUAGCCGUAGUAGCUGAAUAGCUUCCUAAACAGAGCCACAUCAGUAAUAACAAGUCAAUCAUAUUUUUUAUUUUAAAAAAAAAAAUUAAUAAAAAUACUUUUUUUAUAAUCAGAAUGUAAUGGAUUAAUUUAAAGAAAUUUAUUUGAUUUAUUGGAGACACAGACUUAACCAAUUUAUCCAAUGUAUUAUAAAAUUUUUCCCCUGGAUCGGACAAAAAUUACUUGGAGACUGGAAAUCCGGAUUUAUACAUUUUGACUCAGCCUGAGCCGCCGCUAUUUGGACGUGGGAUUUCACAUCUCAACUUACAUUUUUUUCUUUGCUCUUGAUUGCUUUUUCUGUGAUAGCAAUAUUUGAUAAUAAAAAUAAUCCGAUAUGACUAAAACCAGUUGAAGAAUAUCUUGUAUCACGCAUAAAAAAUAUACCUAUAUUAAUUUGUACUAAUUUAAUAAUUGUGAUUUUGAGAGGUAGUUCACCUACAUUUGUACUAUUUUAAUAAAUGUGUGUUGUAGAGUGAUCAGCCAUUAUUUGUUCCGUCGAGAAAAAAUCAGAACAAUUUUGAUUUUUUUUUUUUUUUUAAUUUUAGAUUUGAGAGCGUUUUGCACAUUUCACUUAUCUAUAUAUCCAUCCUAUCAUCUAUUAUCUCCUCAUCUUAUAUCCAUCCUAUCAUCUAUUAUCUCCUCAUCUUAUUUGUAGUAGUCAACACCACCUGGUGCCAUUGUAGUCCUCAUAAGUAAUUGGCACAUAAAAAAAAUUGAUUCAAACAUACAAAGCUUAUAUCAUUUUAAAUCAGUUAUUUGAUCUUUAAAAAUUUUAAUUUUACUGCCUAAUCUUUCAGUCUGUUUGAUUUAAGUUAGCAAAUAAUAUUUUAACUUCAAAAUUUUAACUUUAUUAUUUAAUUUAAUAAAUUUAUAAUUAUGAUAAAUAUAUAAAGUAUAUUACCUAAAUAUGUUAGAAUUAACGAUGUAUUCAUAUUUUAGAAUCAAAAUGCUGUUGAUCGACUCAAAACAAAUUAACAAUAUUAAAUAGCGAAAUUAAAAUUUUGAAAGAUGGAAAAGGCAAUUCAAAAUAUUUUAUAAUUUAGAAAAGUUUAUAAGUUUUUGUCUAGAAAAAAAAUUAAAGAAAAAUGUCUCCCUAUAAGAACCUUGUUAUGGGACAACUAAUAGUAUAGGAUGGUUACAUUCCGAAAAAGAUAGCUGACUCCUCGGCGCAUCGAAGACAUCUCAACAAGUCAGUUUGGCAAAUUUGCUUCUUUUUUUUUUUUUUUUAUAAAAGAAGGAUAAUUAGGAUAAAGAAAAUGGGGCCCUGAUGAUUUAUUUUAAGGAUAAAUGCUUCGUGUACCCAAAAUUUGUCCCUCAAAAUUUUUUUUAUUUACCUUUAUUUGUUUUUUUUUUUGGACGGAUUGGAAGGCAAUCCAACUAGAGCGUAUUUUAAUUCUCUAGUUCUAUUAUUUUUGUAUAUUGUAAUGCGUUGACAGUAAUAAUGCAUAAGUUUUAAUUAACUCAUACAUGCAAUUAAUAUGCUAUAUAAAUUUAUUAUAAUACUGUAGUAGCACUUAAAUAAAUAUUAUUGUUUGGAUUUAUGAAAAAACAUGUGAUCCAAAAGAGAAAAAAAGAAACAAAAUUAUAAUUUAGUGAAACUAAUACAUUUUGUACUAUACUUCAUAACUUAUAAAAAUAAAAUAAAAUAUUUUUUUAUUUCUUUCCUACAAAUAGAUUUUAAAUAAGACUUAUAACUUACAACUUUAUCAGAAUUAAGGGUAUAGUUGUUUUGGUCGAAGUCGGAGUUAAUUGGAAUGGCUAAAUUUUCAUAACCAGAGUUUGUAGGCAUUCAAACGAAAUCGGGGGAAUAGCAUUUCGUGCAGCCUACACGGUUCAUACAUGUGAAUCCGUUUAGCAAUAAAUUCAAGUAUGGUAUGAACUCGCAAGCACGAAGUCGAACCCCGUAGUAGAGAUAGAACUCGUCGAGUUCAAUGGGAUAUAUUUUUGUUUUAUAAAACAUUCGCUAAGAUAUAUCUAAGCUUAGUAGUAGAAUAAGGAUCAGCACUAAUUACUAGAAUGAGAUGGAUAAAGUAUACAUACAAUAAUUUCUACAAAAAUACCCCAAACACAGAUUUUUCUUAAAGCUAAUAAUUAUUUAUACUACCAUAAUGAAUUGUGCUACCUAAACACUCAUCAGGGAAACAUUGGGUACAUUUUGGCGUCCACAUAACUAUUUUGCUCAUAUUUAUGAUGGAUUGGACAACGACGAUAAAGGAGUGGGCCGAGUGGCUUGGAGCUGUAUGCUGUAGGCCACAGGUGUAUUUUGAUUUAUAUAUUUUAAAAAAAUUAAAAAAUUAAAACCAUAUGGAAUUUGCUCAAAUUACAAUUGAUGGUCUAAUUUUUUUUUAAAAGAAGAACAAAAAUAGAGUAUUGAUAUAAAGUAGAUUGAUUUUUUUUUUUCUUUUUUGUGUAGCUCUCGAAAAGAAAAAAAAAAGGAGAAAUUUUACUGCUUGAGAAUUUACUUUGUUAUCCUCUAUAAUUGGUUUUAAUUUAUCAAGAAUAAAAAUGAAGCCAAAAUCGGCCAAGCGAUUCAACAAAUAUAGAUAAAACUUCAGUAGGAGCUCCCAACGACACAUUGUUGGAAGUCCUUAAUUUGCCGACACGUGUUAGUUUUAUCUUUCUUUGAUAAUUCAUUAGGUUUUUUUAAUAUUCAAAUUAAAAAAAAAAAUUCUAAAAAAAAAAUUAUAACGUUUGAACAAAUAUAAAAAUGAUAUAUGACGAUAAAUUAAGACUAUUUAGCGAGAUGUUAUUGGAAGCUGCCCACUAAAGUUUCUUGUAAUAAUUAAUACUCUUUUGAUGAAGGGCGUUCCCACGUGCACACGGGACCCCUCCCUAAUUGAACAGUCCUCAUCAAUUUUGCCAGCCAAAUCGACAAGAAUAUCACAACUCUUUUAUCAAAUUAGUCAAAAUUUAUUAGCAAAACUAAUUACUUAGCUAAAUACAUUAAAAAAAAAACAAAUUGGCCGUCUUGUAUAAAUUACGAUUCAAAUGUUUAUGUAACCAAUUUGAGUUUUGAAACUCAAAUGAUAAAAUUAUAAUUUCUAUAAGAUUCUAAUAAUUUUUAUUUUUUUAAAAAAAUUGAUGGGGAAAAAAUAAGAGAAAAUUACAUCAUUGCCAUCGCCUUGUAAUUAACACUUGGAAAGGCAUUAGAGCAAAUCCUUAUCAGGGGGUUCGCCUAUCAGUUUUUGCCCACAUGUUAGUUUUAAAUUCUAAUGGUCAAAUUUAUUACACCGUUCUAGGGUUAGUUACACAUGUGCAAAUCUUUUAGUUUGUACCCAAUAACUAUUUUAUAAUAUACUAGUAUAGUUAUCUGCACGAUGCAGCGGGUAGACACUAUCGAAACAAUCAUUAUUUCUAUAAACUAAUUAAUAUUAGUUUAAAUUGAAACUAAUAUUAAAUAAAACUUUUUUUACAAACAAAAUUUUCAUUCUCUUUAUUAAAUAAAAACUAUUAAAUUAAAAUUGUAACUAUUAAAUAAAAAACUAUUAAAGAUGACAUUUUCAUAUUUAUUAACUCAACAAUCUAUAUAAUCAAACUCAAUAGUUUAGUGAAAAAAAUAAUAAGAUUAUAAGAAAGGACAAAUACAAAAUUUACAAUUUGAUUACACAUAACAACUCAAAUAAAAAAAAUUGUUACAAGUUCAAGCGAGUGUUAAUUGAAAAUUAAAUAAAAUUGAGGGCCUAUUUCAAAUGGCCUAUAGAGAAUCUCUCAGUAAAUAUUUUUACCAAUCCUUUUUAAUAUUUAAAAAAAAAAAACCAAACAAAGCCAAACCUGCACAUCUCCCAGCCCAAUUGUGCUCUUAUGCCUGGCGAAAUCUUAAUAAGUGAAUGAGCCCUGAAACCCCACAGAAGCAAUUCAGUGAACACCUCAUGAGCAUCUACUACAAACCAAUCUGAAUUAUAACAGAGAUGUAUAACUUGAGUUACCUCUAACAUAUAUGUAACAGUCUCAAAUCCUGAAAAAAAAAAAAAAGCAUAAUUAAACACAGCAACACCUGAGCAGAAGCAAAUACCCUAUAACAUAAGACCAUGGAUAAUAAGUUGUGAUUUUUCAAAACCAACCUCUAUGAGGAUGAUUAGGAAAUCCAGCGGGAGGAGAAACUGCAACAAAACAAAUUGUAAUUCAAGCGAAAAAAAAUCCCAACUUAAAAGAAAAGGAACAGUUGAGAAAAAUCAAGCAAAAUUUGGAAGAAUUUAAUGAUAAAAAUUCUAAAUUUUUUAUCCAAAUCGAAAAAAAAAAGAUUUUCACAUUUUUCCAAAAACCAAAAUAUCUUCAAAUUUAUCCAGGAGAAGGAAAGGAUCCAAACUUUUCAGUUCAGGCUUGCAAAUCACAUAAACCCCAUCAAAUUAACACCCAAAAUAGAAAAUCAAAAUGUACAUAUAUAAAAAAAAGAAUGAAUUUACGAAAAUGACUUUUUCUCUUUCACAAGAAAUAAUUGAUUCAUCUGAAAGUUCGAUCUUAGUCAUUUAAUGAAUUACAAACUUUUAUGAGAAUUACCUUCCAAUGCUUCUCCUCACGAUGGUGUCUUGUCCAUGAAAGAAAAAUUAGCAAAAUAAUAAAAGAAUGAAAUGGUGACUAUGAAAAGAUAAAAAACGUAUUGGUAUAGUAAUCAAUUAUGAUUAUAAUUACCAUGAAACGUUAAUGUAGAUUAUCAUUAAUUCAUGAAAUGUUAAUAGAUAUACCGGAGAGGAGAGGAGAGGGGAGGGGAGGGGAAGGGUGGGGGAGAUGAAGAGAUGCCUAAUACGGUGAGAAUUAAAGGAAAGAGAAUUAAUACGUUAUUGGGGAUUAAUAAAAUAGGUAUAGAUAUAGAUUAUUUAUCUAAUAAUCUAAGAAUGAAGGGUUUCUUGUCACGUGGCAAAAAAUAUUAUGAAUUCAUUAUGUUUAAUAAAUAACCAUUUGUAUUUAAAACUAUUCAAUUUAAAGAAAUAAAGAGGUCAAAUUCGAAUCGAGUAGAGAAUUUAGCAAAUACUAGUUCUAACAAAUUUACAAUAAGUGGACUGGGACAGAAGUUGAUCCCAAUUAAACACGACCCCAUGAGGGAAAAGAAUGUUCGCAUCCAAUUUAGGCUGACCCAAUCCUUCUUUAUUUUUGCAUAUUUUAAAUUUUAAUUUUCUUUCAAGUUCGAUGAUAUAAGUUUAAGAGAACUCGACUUAAUUUAUCUAAAAAUAUGUAUUGAAUUUUGGAUGAUUAAAUAUGGUAUAUUUCUAUUUUAUAUAAAUAAGUAUAAUAUGUAGCGUUACAUUGUACGCACCACCAUUCCAAUCGGGGGAAAUUUGGGCCAAGCAUAUGUUGGUCCGAACAAGACCGUAAAUAAUUUUAAAUUUUAAACAUUAGUUGGUUCAAAUCGGCCCGCUGGCCUGAUGGGCCAGGGCAUUUUUGUUCUACAACUUUGUUUUCUAUAUAUAUAUAUAUAUAUAUAUAUAUUUUUUUUUUUUUUUCUAUCUUGCAUUUAGUUAGUCUAAGCCUCUUUAAUGGACACACAAGACUAUAUUUUGAGAGAAAGGUAACAAAUUAUUUUUUUAAAAAAUAAACUCAGCUAGAAAUAAAAAAUAAUUAGAUUAAAAAUUUAUAAUCUCAAAUAUCAAUCAUCAAAUGUUUAGUUAAUUGUGCUCAAUAGUGGUGGUUGGACUAGACUAUGUUAGGGACUUAUUAUGAAGCUAGUUAGUUUUUUGUUUUUUUUCUUUUUUUCUUUCUUCUUUUUAUUUUUUUUUUAUUUUUUUUUUAUGUUUUCACUUUUUCUUGUAUUCCGAGCCUAGGGAUGAAAAGGGGAGUGAAUCUAAUGUGAUCCCAUUACAUUCUAAACGAAAGAAUCCAAUCCAAUUUAAGUAGCACAGUUCCUUGAAUCAAUGGUCAUGAAACCACCGGAGAAGUAAAUUAAGAAUCACUCUUCUAUAUAUUUUAGUCUAGUCCUUAAUUGUCAGCCAUGUCUCACAAGGUGCAUGAAUAAUUUGAAAAGUCAAGAGAUAAACUAGGAGCAAAUUAUUCAGUAAACAAUACUUAAAUAGCUGCAUGAUAUACAAUAACAACUAACAACCAAAGUGAUCCAAGUGAAGGACAACUUUCAUGUAGUUCAUAGAAAAGGAUUCGACAGAGAACUACAUGUCUAAUUUUAAGUUUUACAAAGCAGGUGAAAAGAACUACUCCAUACUAUGUCUUGAUGUGAGGGCCUCACACCAAUUUACAGGCAUCCAUUGUCUGUUCGGACCGACUUAACUACUUCCUAGGAUGAUAGUAAGAGUAGACUGCGAAGAAGGUUUGCACUAAGGUGGAAAUAAGAAUGACGGCUGCUGCGGACAGAGAAAGGAUGGGCCAUGGGUAGGUGAAAUAGUCCCUGACCAGCUUGGCCUUCCACUUGUUCCAAUCGGAAUUGCAGUACUUCCGCACCUCCCGGAACAAUCCGGCGAGGUAGUGCUGCUUGUAAUACAUGGCGGGACAGUUGGAGAACUCGUUGAAGAAGACCGCCAGAUCCAUGUCGCUCGCCAGCUGGUUCUCGAGGAUUCCGCUCUGCUGGAGUAUCGUGACGUCUCUUGGCGUGUCGAUGAUGCAGUUCAUGAACGUGGCGUAGCUCGUCAUGUAAGCCUCCUCCGGCUGACACCCGCUGCACUGCUCGAAGGCCACGAGGUUUGUGAACAGAGAUAAGGUGGAGUUGUUCACGGAGAGGAAAGGGAUCUCGAGCACGCCGCCGUGAAAUGUGACAUCUAGGAAAGAACCAGGAUGAUGGUGAUGAUAAUGAUUCUUCUUCCUAAAUGUCACUCCGGCCUGCAGGAGCACGGUAGCGGAUGGAAUUGUAUUCGGCGAUCUUUUCUUACCCGCCGGAGCGUGCCAUUCGUCAUUCUUAAAUCGGAGAUAAGAGAGGAGCGAGGCACAAAUCUUACUUGGCUUUAACCAUUUGAGAAUAGUACCGCAGAUGGUGCUCCCCGUCGGGUCCGUUCGCGGUCUCAGGACGUAGCAACGGUAGUAGAGAUGCAACAGGUGGUGGAAAUCUUUGGCUUCGCCGUGCACCGAAGCGUUGGUGGAGACGCGACUGUCCAGCAUCUCUUCCUCGGGGCUCUCGAUGUUUUCGCUCGCGAGGUAGUUCACGAGAAGCUCCAUCAGAGUUGGUACAUUGUCGCCCAUGGUGAAGGUGACGAGCUCGAACAGCUUCUCGAGCACGAAGAGGGGGAUCUGGUUCUCGAGCAGGAGCAGGUCGCCGCACACGAGCGGCAAGCUCCAUCCCGUGGUGCAGACGCUGUCGUCGUCCCCUUGGCUCCAUUUGAUGAUGAACUCGAGGACGAAGCACCCGUCGAGGAGCAGCAUCUCCACGAACUCAUCGGCGCUGAGCUCGACGGGCUCGAAGUAGCGCUGCCGCGCCCGAGGCUCCAGCUCCCUGAUCACGGCUAUGUAGUCGUCGAUGCGGCUGUAGGGGUUGCGGGAGAGGAAGUCCUGUAGGUAGCGCCACUUGUGCUGCUCCAUGGUGCGAAGGACGGGGCGGUCACCGCGACCAUACGGGCCGACGGAGACCAUUCGGGGCUCGUACAGGUGUUGGUUGCGUUGACGAAUGUAGGCAGGGACACGGAAGAUGGCGAAGCUCUCCGGCGCCAUCGGGUGGCGGUUUAAGGCGUUGAUUUUCAACCUGACGGAGCUCAGCACGGCAUCGCUGAUGUCUAUGGCGACCGCCUCUCCCUGAUCCUGUGCCAUCUCCGGCAGCUAAUUCUGCUGAGAACAAUUAUUAAGGUCCCCAAAUCUCUAAUACUCCGACGAGAUCCGGUUUAGACUUUUUUUAUGGGCCGUACAGUCAACUAUCGGUCUCCGGAUGUAACCUCCCUCCUAUAUUAGCUGUUCCAGAUCCAGUCGGCACAAGGGCAUUAUAAUGAGUCCGGCUACUGAACUAUCGGUAGCACGGAGGGCUCCGUGCUACUAAGUUAUUUUUAAUAAUACGGCUUCCAAAUCGACGAUCGGCUUUAUUAGACUUGAUCUACACUGUUAAACGUAUUUGGAAACUAAAUUUCAUAAUUUUUCGAUACUAUAUACCUAUCAAACAAAUAGUCUAAAAUUGAAUGAAUGAAAGUAAAAAUCUCAUAAAAAAUGAUGAUAAAAAGUUUAAAUUCAAGAUCAGAUAUACUGGUCUUACUCUAAAUAGUGAAAAGAAUUUUCUAUAAAAUUUUCAUCGGAUUUAAAUUGUUUUACACUGUUAAACUCUCAAACACACCACAUCGGCCAUUAAAAUUGUCAAUUUUGAGAUCUUUUGAUCACUAAUCAAAUGGUAUUGAAAAAAUCUGAAAUUUAGUUUCCAAAUACUUUCAAUAGUGUAGAUUAAGUCUAACGAGCCGAUCGUCGAUUUAAAAAUCGCAUCAUCGAAAACAAUUUGAUAGCACGGAACCCUCUGUGCUACCGAUAGUAUAGUAGCCGGACUCCAUUAUAAUAAAGUUCUUCCAUGGAGAUUGGAGACAUUUUUUAAAGGGGCAAUUUCACUAUGCCUUUCUAAAGUUCUGAAAUUUCAUAGAUGUCCUCUCAAUUUUUAAAAUUUCAUGAAUAAUCUUUCAAAUGUCAAAUAUGUUUCAUCAAUGUGGAUGCACUUAAGGACAAGUUUCACGAUAUACAAUAACAACUAAACGAAGCGGGUAGCGUACUAUCUAUCUCUCUCUCAAAAAAAAAAAAAAAAAAAAAAAAAAAAAAAAAAAAAAAAAAAAAAAACUAACCACCAAAGAGCUCCAAGUCAAGGACAAAUUUCAUGAAGUUCAUAGAAAAGGAUUCAACAGAGAACUGCAUGUCUAACUUUAAGUUUU
rnacentral:lncRNA from 1 species